GACGAACGCUGGCGGCGUGCCUAAUACAUGCAAGUCGAGCGCAGGAAACUGACGGAACUCUUCGGAGGGAAGGCAGUGGAAUGAGCGGCGGACGGGUGAGUAACACGUAUGGAACCUGCCUCAAGGAUUGGGAUAACUCCGAGAAAUCGGAGCUAAUACCGGAUAGUUCAACGGACCGCAUGGUCCGCUGAUGAAAGGCGCUCCGGCGUCACCUUGAGAUGGCGCUGCGGUGCAUUAGCUAGUUGGUGGGGUAACGGCCCACCAAGGCGACGAUGCAUAGCCGACCUGAGAGGGUGAUCGGCCACACUGGGACUGAGACACGGCCCAGACUCCUACGGGAGGCAGCAGUAGGGAAUCUUCCACAAUGGACGAAAGUCUGAUGGAGCAACGCCGCGUGAGUGAUGAAGGUUUUCGGAUCGUAAAACUCUGUUGUAAGGGAAGAACACGUACGAGAGGAAAUGCUCGUACCUUGACGGUACCUUACGAGAAAGCCACGGCUAACUACGUGCCAGCAGCCGCCGUAA
rnacentral:rRNA from 1 species